ACCUCUCGAUGUUCUUAAACAUCUCUUCAUGGAAGAGAACAGUCUGGAGACGGAAGUGGAAGAGAACAGUCUGGAGAAGGAUGUUGAAGAGGACAGUCUUGAGAUGGAAGUGGCGGAAGAACUUCUUGUCUGGGCCGAGGAAAAUCUGGACCUGACUGAGGACCUCACCCCCAUCGUACAGGAGGAAGCAGAAGAACCAGCAGCCAUCCAGCCCGAGGUGCAAGCAGAGACCAGGACCACCUGGACGAGACACCUGACUCAGGCUUUCUGGAGGAUGUUCUGCCUCUGCUGACACCAGUGUCUGUGUACCUCGCCUGUGUGUCAAGAUAAAUAAAUAUG